CUGUUUUCUAGCUCUUUUAGUAUUUGUCUAGAAGGUUUUUUACAUUGGUGGAAAACCACA
rnacentral:snRNA from 1 species